rnacentral:lncRNA from 1 species
AGGGUUUUAUAUGGGGAGCGAGAGAGAGAGAGAUCGAGAGCGAGAGUGCAGAGAUGAGGGAGGGCAACGUGGUGCUAUUCCCGUUCUUGGCGCACGGCCACAUGAACCCUUUCCUUGACCUCGCUCGCCUGCUCUCCGCCCGCUACCCUCACCUCACCCUCACCCUCGUCACGACCUCCGGCAACCUCGCUGGCUUCCGCCGCCUCCAGCUACCUACCUCCAUCCGCCUCGUCGCCCUCCCCUUCUGCCCCUCUGAUCACGGACUCCCUCCCGACGCCGAUACCUCCUUCGCUCUCCCGCCACACCUCGUAACCCACCUGAACCACGUUAUCGAGGGAUGCCUCCUCCCCUCCUUCCGCCGCCUCCUCUCCGACUUGAUCUCCGCUGCCUCCCCUCCCGUAAUCUGCGUCAUCGCCGACAUGUUCCUCGGCUGGACGGCCCCGGUGGCCAAAGAGCAUGGCG